rnacentral:rRNA from 1 species
CACCUAGAGGAGCCUGUUCUAUAAUCGAUUCUCCCCGAUAAACCUCACCACUUCUAGCCAACUCAGCCUGUAUACCUCCGUCGUAAGCUUACCAUAUGAACGCUAAUUAGUGAGCUUAAAGAUCUUUACAUCAACACGUCAGGUCAAGGUGCAGCUCACGAAGUGGGAAGUAAUGGGCUACAAUUUCUAACUUAGAACACACGAAAGACUACAUGAAACACAGUCAUGAAGGCGGAUUUAGCAGUAAAAAGAAAAUAGAGAGUUCUUUUUAAUUAGGCGCUGGGACGCGUACACACCGCCCGUCACCCUCUUCAAACGCCCACAAACGUUAAUUAACACCUAACCGCACCAUAGAAGAGGUAAGUCGUAACACGGUAAGCGUACUGGAAAGUGCGCUUGGACUAACAA